rnacentral:rRNA from 1 species
AUGGGGAUUGGGGAUGCAUCACCUAGUGAAAACCAGUCUGCACACAAGGAAAAGAGGGAUGAGACCACGCCACUUCUCCCGCUCAAGGCGGAAGAGGAAGAUGGGAUCCAUGAGUUCAAUGGAGCGUCUUUCUCGGGUGCAGUUUUCAAUCUGUCGACAACCAUUGUGGGGGCUGGAAUUAUGGCCCUGCCUGCAAGUAUCAAGAUGCUAGGCAUUAUCCCUGGUAUUUUGAUGAUCAUCCUUGUGGCAUUGCUCACUGAGGCAUCAAUUGACAUGAUGGUCAGGUGCAGCCACCAGGCCAAGAUUACAUCCUAUGGCUGGCUGAUGGGUGACUCUUUUGGUCAAUGGGGGAGGAUUGUGCUGCAAGCAUCUGUGGUCAUAAACAACAUUGGCGUCAUGAUUGUAUACAUGAUUAUCAUCAGUGAUGUGCUAUCAGGAACAUCUACAACUGGUGUUCAUCACCGGGGUAUCUUUGAGGGGUGGUUUGGUCCUCAUUUGUGGAAUUCUCGUCCAGUUGUUCUCCUUGCCACAACUAUUUUUGUGUUUGCUCCAUUGGUGAGCUUUAAGCGAUUGGAUUCAUUGAGAUACACAUCUGCUCUUUCAGUUGCCCUUGCUGUGGUUUUUGUUGUCAUCACUGCUGGAAUUGCUAUUCUCAGACUGAUAGAAGGGACCGCGGAGAUUCCCAAACUCUUCCCUGAGAUACAUGAAAUCAAUUCCAUCUGGGAACUCUUUACAGCUGUGCCGGUUCUUGUCACUGCCUACAUUUGCCACUACAAUGUUCACAGCAUUGAUAACGAGCUGGAAGAUAGAAGUCAGACUAAGCCAAUUGUGCGAACUUCACUGGCUCUCUGUUCAAGUGUUUAUGUUGCAACAAGCUUCUUUGCAUAUCUCCUCUUUGGCGAGGGUACCCUCUCCGAUGUGCUCGCCAAUUUUGACUCCGACCUUCAUAUUCCAUUCAGCUCUGUCUUCAAUGAUAUAGUUAGAGUGAGCUAUGUAGUCCAUGUCAUGCUCGUUUUCCCUAUAGUCUUCUUUGCCCUUAGGCUCAACCUGGAUGGACUCCUCUUCCCCACCUCAAGGCACAUUUCUCAUGACAACCGAAGGUUUACCAUUAUCACCGUCUCACUCCUUGUUGUGAUUUAUCUUGCUGCCAACUUCAUACCAAGCAUCUGGGAUGCGUUCCAGUUCACUGGUGCUACAGCUGCUGUCCUGAUUGGUUUCAUCUUUCCUGCCAUGAUCAUACUCAGGGAUUCUUAUGGGAUUGCAACCAAGCGCGACAAGGUUUUAGCUGUAACCAUGAUUGUGCUUGCUGUGCUCUCCAAUUCAGUGGCCCUGUACAGCGAUGCGAUGAGCAUCUUCUACAGGAAGGUGGAGGCCUAG